rnacentral:lncRNA from 1 species
GAUGCUUCACUAUUAAAAUAUUUUCCCCCCAAGUCUCAAAUAUUGAAGAAUCUCUAACCAGGCUCGAAACGCCGGUCUCAGUGGCUAUUGAGUUACCCACCAAGUUACCCCGGUUAGAGCUGUUUGGGGUGGCUCACGUUAUUGCGGCAAACUUUGGAGAUGACGGCUGAGUCCUCCGGGCGAACAUGUCAAGCCGAUUGUAAAUGCUGUUAUUUCCACAUCCUUCAGGGACACCAGUCCCUACGAAGACCUUGGGCGAUUUUGAAGUGCGGGCACCUCGAUUCCCCGAAUCUGUAGUGUGGCUGGUAUCGGUGUUCCCCUGGUUUAACUAGCCUGUUUGGCACAACAAAUGAGACCCAAGUGCUCAUAGAACAUUCCAAAGAGUCAACAGAGAGAAGUGGAAAGUAUUAGAAACAUGAUUGUGUUUGCAAAGGGAGACAUAAACAUGGGGAAAUUGAGGCAGAGAAGCCAAGACAUGUGCUAAAGGUCAUGCAGGCUAUGAAUGGAGCUGGAAUGUGAACGCAGGCCAUAUGACCCCAGAGCCCAUGUUCUUGAACCCUUAGAAAGACAGCAGCAACACACCUGGUGCAGCAGCUGCUUAGUUGGAGUGGCUGACAAGGUUGGCAGAGGAUCCCGUUCCUCCCGUGGAGUGGCUGCCAUGAUACUGCCUGCACUGAAGCUGCUCCUAUUUCUGAAAUAUGUAUUGUUAUUUUUUUCCCUGCAUGUUGAACAUUAUACUCUUCUGUUCUUUCGCAUUCUCUUCUUCCCUUCCGGAUGACUUCUAGGGUUUUUGUGAUUCUGUAAUUCUAAAGGAGAAAGGAUAAUAAGAAUUGUGAG